rnacentral:rRNA from 1 species
UACGUAAGGGGCAAGCGUUGUUCGGAAUUAUUGGGCGUAAAGGGCGCGUAGGCGGCGCGACAAGUCACUUGUGAAAUCUCUGGGCUUAACUCAGAACGGCCAAGUGAAACUGUUGUGCUAGAGUGCAGAAGGGGCAAUCGGAAUUCUCGGUGUAGCGGUGAAAUGCGUAGAUAUCGAGAGGAACACCAGAGGUGAAGACGGGUUGCUGGGCUGACACUGACGCUGAGGCGCGAAAGCCAGGGGAGCAAACGGG